rnacentral:rRNA from 1 species
UACGUAGGGGGCAAGCGUUGUCCGGAAUCAUUGGGCGUAAAGCGCGUGUAGGCGGUCCGGUAAGUCGGCUGUGAAAGUCCAGGGCUCAACCCUGGGAUGCCGGUCGAUACUGCCGGACUAGAGUUCGGAAGAGGCGAGUGGAAUUCCCGGUGUAGCGGUGAAAUGCGCAGAUAUCGGGAGGAACACCAAUGGCGAAGGCAGCUCGCUGGGACGUUACUGACGCUGAGGUGCGAAAGCGUGGGGAGCAAACAGGG